UACGUAGGGCGCAAGCGUUGUCCGGAAUUAUUGGGCGUAAAGCGUGCGCAGGCGGUCUGUUAAGACCGAUGUGAAAUCCCCGGGCUUAACCUGGGAACUGCAUUGGUGACUGGCAGGCUUUGAGUGUGGCAGAGGGAGGUAGAAUUCCACGUGUAGCAGUGAAAUGCGUAGAGAUGUGGAGGAAUACCGAUGGCGAAGGCAGCCUCCUGGGCCAACACUGACGCUCAUGCACGAAAGCGUGGGGAGCAAACAGG
rnacentral:rRNA from 1 species